UACGUAGGGUGCAGGCGUUUAAUCGGAAUUACUGGGCGUAAAGCGCGCGUAGGCGGCUUUGCAAGUCGGGUGUGAAAUCCCCAGGCUUAACCUGGGAACUGCAUUCGAGACUGCAUUGCUAGAGUAUGGGAGAGGGAAGUGGAAUUUCCGGUGUAGCGGUGAAAUGCGUAGAUAUCGGAAGGAACAUCAGUGGCGAAAGCGACUUCCUGGAACCAAUACUGACGCUCAUGUGCGAAAGCGUGGGGAGCAAA
rnacentral:rRNA from 1 species